GACGAACGCUGGCGGCGUGCUUAACACAUGCAAGUCGAGCGGUAAGGCCCUUCGGGGUACACGAGCGGCGAACGGGUGAGUAACACGUGGGUGACCUGCCCUUAGCUCUGGGAUAAGCCUGGGAAACUGGGUCUAAUACUGGAUAUGACCUCAUGAUGCAUGUUGUGGGGUGGAAAGCCUUGUGCGGCUGGAGAUGGGCCCGCGGCCUAUCAGCUUGUUGGUGGGGUGAUGGCCUACCAAGGCGACGACGGGUAGCCGGCCUGAGAGGGCGACCGGC
rnacentral:rRNA from 1 species